CCGCGCCAUAUUGUGUUUAUAAGGAAACAAACUGUGUCGACAUGUUGCGGAUUUGUUGGAUGAGGUUUUGCUGUUGGAUUUUUGCUUGCCCUCACCUUGUUCCACUGACUUCAUGAAUCGUUCCAAGAAGUUUUCCCCAAUCUGGAAUCAUUUUGAUCUUUUGAUUUUGAUGCUAAAUAAGGUGAAGUGUCCGCUCUGCUCCACAGAGCUAUCUUACAUCAAUAAGAGCCCUUCAUCAAUGCUGAGGCAUUUUUGAGCUCGGCAUGGCAAUGAAGAAUUGACAGAUACUCGUGUAAGUACCUCAGUUCCUAAGCAAGCAGUGGAUGAGGCUGUGGUCAACAUGAUCAUCAAAGACUGUCAGCCACUCAACAGUGUUGAAAAUGAGGGAUUCAGGGAGCUCCUGAAGCUUAUCAACUGGCACUUCAAUUUUUAUGCUCACCAUCUUCAUCUGUACACUGUAAUGAGUUUUUUCUAAGGCAGGGGAACUGAUGUCUAAGAGGAGAAAUCGCCUUGGAGCAAAGACACUUCAAAAACUGUUGUUCCUCAAUAAA